GUGAAAAUGCCCAAAGGCUCACUAAAUAUAUGUGAGGAGAGAGGAAGUUCCUACUUUUUGUGCAGAUAAUUUAAAGGAAUCAGCACAAGGGACAGACUUAAUAGGGAUUACGAAGGUUACAUAGUGAAGAACUGAGAGAGAUGUAAUCAACAGGCGGGCCUGAUAACUCAUGGGCAGCAAGUCUAUGGUCCUUUAUACAUGAGAUGACAGCCCACAACAGGGUGGAAAGAGCCAGUGUGGGUGCAGAGCUGGCAGCCAUCGGACAGAUGAGGACAGAAUUCUGCCUCUCUUUGGAGAAGAUGAGGUCCACAUCUACAUGGGUGUUGCGGUAUCCAUGUCCCGCCAACUGAUGCGGAAAGCGACCAUUUGGCCCAUCAAGUCUGCACUGACCCUCUGAGGAACAUCUCAACCAGACCCACAAUUGUGAUCUUUUAGCUCUGACCUCCAGCUUCAAAGCAUGUUGAAUCAUUAGGAAAGGCAAACACAAUCUAUGCAUGAUGUAGAGGUGUCAGUGUUGGAAUGAUAUGGACAAGGUCAGAAAUCACACGACACCAGGUUAUUGUGUAACUGGUUUAUUUGAAAACAAAAGCUUUUGGAGUCUCACUCCUUCUUCAGGUGUUAGUGAGAGACUUAGUAUCAGACGCAGAAUUUAUAAAUAAAAGGUUAAGGUUUGAUGAGGAUGUACUAAACAAACUUAAGAUGCUGUUAAAUCUUUAAUCAGUUGGAAGGCUUUAAUUGAUUAAUAUAUAUUUGUAAAUCCCCGAAUUUCUUUCAAGUCACUCCUGAGAGAACUAAAGGUUUUAUCAGUGUAAAGAGGUGACUGUCAGACAAUGCAUGUGAGACCUUGCUUAGAAUCUGUUUUUGUUUUAAUUUUGAGUCUGACUGGUUUUAUUUCUAAAGUAAGAAUAUAUAAAACACCAUACUGACUGACUGUCUACAAAUUGGUGCUUUAAAUUUACGUGUGUGUGCGCACAUGUGAGGGAGAGUGUGUGUGUGUGUGUGUGUGUGUUUGUGUGUGGCAGAAAGAGUGGUUGUGUGUGCAUGUUGGAGAGAGAGAUUGUUUGUGUGUGUGUAUGGAAGAUAGACUGUGUAUGGGUGUCUGUGUGUGUGUGAGAGGGAGAGAGAGAGAGAGAGAGAAAGAGAGAGAUGAGUGUGUGCGUUUGGGACAGAGAGGGUGCUUGUGUGUUUGUGUGUGUGUUAGAGAGAGAGAGACUGUGUGAGUGUGUGUGCGCGCAUGUGUGUGUGUGUGUGUGUGUGUGUGUGUGUGUGUGUGUGUGUGUGUGUGUGUGAGAGAGAGAGAGAGAGAGAGAAUUACAGUCUGGUGGGGUCAGCUGUAGUGCGACAUGAACCCAAGAUCCCAGUUAAGGCCAUCCUCAUAGGCACCGAACUUGGCCAUCAGCCUCUGCUCAGUGACUCUGUGUUGUUGUGUCUCCCAAAGUCCACCAUGGAAAACGUUUACCCAAAGAUCCGAGGCCGAGGCCGAAUAUCCUUGACCACAAUCCGUUCAAGGUGGCUUUAACUGAUGUGUUCAUUCACUCAUGCUAUACUUUUAAAUUGUUAGUGUCUUCUUUUGAAACAAAAAACAAGUUUGACAUGAGCAUCAUUGAUUGGAACAUUGAGAAAUAAAGACCUGUCCAAGGUGAGUGAUUUUUGAGGCCACUACCAGAUUUCUAAAGUUGUUAGCAGCUGUGAUUGGUCCAAUCGAUCACUGCAGUCACAGUGAUGCUACAUAAAGGUCAAUGUCGAGUCACAUGGAUGGCAAGAUAAUCAGACAAAGCAUGACAAGUUGUGUUUAAUAAUUCACAAGAAGGAUCAGAAAAAGAUUCUUUAAUAAAGCACAACAUUUGGCUGAUAUUUCACUUUCAUUUGGAUGAACUAUUUGUGCGUGUAGUGACUAGUUUGGGAAAGUGCUGCUAGACAAAAGACUUCAGAAAUAUACCUCAAGUAGACUGCAGAUUGAGGUGCUCACAUUAAGCGAUUCACUGCAUAACCAUUCCCUGAAGAGGGUGGGGGUGGGAUCAAGCUGGAAAGAAAGAUCAUUUUAUUCAAUAUGUUGAACUGAGGGCUGUGGAACAAAAUCAUUGCCAGGAAAUCGCAGUUCUUACUUCCACUGAAUGUGACAUGAUACGCGUUCAUACUUCCAUUGGCUGCAACCCUGAAACUGAUUACAAGUUUUAAAGAAGUGUACCAUAAGCUAUCUGCAGGAGAGGGGAAUGAAUUAUUUAUUUGGGUAGUUACAGAAUGUGGAAAUCCUGACAAAGCAACCACCUUCAUUGCACCUCUAAUUGCCCUCCAACAUGUGGGGAACUGCCUUGCCUCCUUGAACUACUUGAGCCUGUAUCAUAAAAUACCUCAACGAUGAGUAUGGGGAGGUGGGGAGGGGAGAGGAACAUGUGCACAACAUUUAUAUUUUAUGGAUGAAUAUAAGUAAAUUUAUUUCCCUGUUUUGGUAUUUUUACCAAUUGUGGCCCACCACUUCACCCAUGCCUUUAAUGUACCCUGAAAGAACUUGAAUGACACUGGGUCCUCUCCAAUGCCUUGAGAAUAAGUUAUUGUUCACGUGUGAGCUUUGUCUGUGGGUGUCUCAUCAAUUCAUUUAACUGCACAAAGCAUCACAGAAACGAUUAAUCCUGUCCUCACCUGAUUCGCAGAAGGGCAUAUUAAAGAAAGGGGAGUGUGUGAAGUUGAGAGAUGUGAGUGAAUUUCAGCAAGUUGUAGGUGACUGUAAGACCAUGAUGUCUUCAGAUAUAGGAGCAGAGUUAGGCCAUUCAGCCCAUCGAGUCUGCUCGACCAUUCAAGUAUGGCUGAUGUGUUUCAAAGCCCUAUUCUCCUGUUUUCUCCCCCUAACCUUUGAUCCUCUUACUGAUCAAUAAUCUAUCUAUCUCUGUCUUAAAGGCAUGUAAUGACUUGGCCUCCACAGACGUUUGUGGCAACUAAAAACAUGGUCAUCAAAAAAGCUAGAUACACAAGAGGCCAGGGUUUGAAGGGUGCAGAUAACUGAGAGGAUUGUGGGGCUGGAGGAGUUUACAGUGAGAGGAAGCGGUAAAUCCGUAGAAGUAUUUCAAAACAAGGUUAAGAAUUUUGAAUUCAAAAUCAUAGGAUUGCACUGUACAGAAGAAUCCCUUUGGCCCAUUGAGUCUGUAUUGCCAAAAGUACAUGACUGACACCAGCUCGCUUUCCAACAGUGGGCCCAUAGCCACUUCAAGUGCUCAUUCAAGUACUUUUUAAAGAUUCUGAGAUGUCCUGCCUCUCCUGCAGGCAGCACACUCCAGAUUCCAAAAUCAUUCCAAAAUUGAUAAGCAAAUAAUAAGCAAGCCACCCACUGCAGUUUCCCUUCCUCCCUGCUGCUGUGCUAUAAGCCCCUACUAAUAACAGCCAGGGUACAGUAACUUCAUUAACCACCAUCUCAA